UAUGAUCGGCGAUGUCGUGGUUCUUUGUCCUUUCACCGCAGGGGACGAAGCCAAGAGGGAAUCCGGAACGGCGCGAGCCGAGGCCGGAGCUGCCCCCGCAACUGUGAGCGGCGAGCGGCCGAUCCACCGAAGUCACUGAUGCCGCAGGGUAUCGGGAAGACGGAUCGGGCGCGCUGACCCGCGAGCCAGGAGACCUGCCACGGCCACAUUGUCGUCA
rnacentral:ncRNA from 1 species